rnacentral:rRNA from 1 species
UACGUAGGGGCCUAGCGUUGUCCGGAUUUAUUGGGCGUAAAGAGCUCGUAGGCGGUUCGGUAAGUCAGGUGUGAAAUCUCCACGCUCAACGUGGAGGCGCCACCUGAAACUGCCGUGACUCGAGUCCGGUAGGGGAGUGUGGAAUUCCCGGUGUAGCGGUGAAAUGCGUAGAUAUCAGGAGGAACACCGGUGGUGUAGACGGCUUUCUGGACCGUAACUGACGCUGAGACACGAAAGCGUGGGUAGCAAACAGG